GGCUUAGUCGCAACCAGACACAGAGCCGUGUCUGAGAUUGAAAUUUUGUAAACAAACUAUUUAUAGCGAAAAUAAAUUUAUUUGGAGUGAAUUUUUAUAAAGUUGUGUGGAUUAUUGUUUGUAAACACCUGGAAAUUUAUACUAAAACAAUUAGUCGCCUCAGGCUCGGUGAUUACAAAUUGUAAUCACCUCGCCUUCGGCAACUAAUUGUUAAAUAGAAUCCUCAGAAUCUAAAACUCUUCAAUUAUUCAUUAUUUGACGAAAAAUUGGUGAGGAAAGAUAAAGAUUGUUCAUAUUC